rnacentral:rRNA from 1 species
AUUGAACGCUGGCGGCAUGCCUUACACAUGCAAGUCGAACGGUAACAGGUCUUCGGAUGCUGGCGAGUGGCGAACGGGUGAGUAAUACAUCGGAACGUGCCCAGACGUGGGGGAUAACGAGGCGAAAGCUUUGCUAAUACCGCAUACGAUCUAAGGAUGAAAGCAGGGGACCGCAAGGCCUUGCGCGUUUGGAGCGGCCGAUGGCAGAUUAGGUAGUUGGUGGGAUAAAAGCUUACCAAGCCGACGAUCUGUAGCUGGUCUGAGAGGACGACCAGCCACACUGGGACUGAGACACGGCCCAGACUCCUACGGGAGGCAGCAGUGGGGAAUUUUGGACAAUGGGCGAAAGCCUGAUCCAGCAAUGCCGCGUGCAGGAUGAAGGCCUUCGGGUUGUAAACUGCUUUUGUACGGAACGAAAAGGCUCUGGCUAAUACCUGGGGCACAUGACGGUACCGUAAGAAUAAGCACCGGCUAACUACGUG